AGUCGCAUGGUCUAAUGGUUAUGAUAUCUCGUUCACAUUCAGUUGAACAUGUUCCGAGAUGGUUCUGAGUUCGAUCCUCAGUGCGACUA
rnacentral:tRNA from 1 species